rnacentral:rRNA from 1 species
CAGGUCACUCCUACGGGAGGCAGCAGUGGGGAAUAUUGGACAAUGGGGGAAACCCUGAUCCAGCAAUGCCGCGUGAGUGAAGAAGGCCUUAGGGUUGUAAAGCUCUUUCGGCGGGGACGAUGGUGACGGUACCCGCAGAAGAAGCCCCGGCUAACUUCGUGCCAGCAGCCGCGGUAAUACGAAGGGGGCUAGCGUUGUUCGGAAUCACUGGGCGUAAAGGGCGCGUAGGCGGCGCGACAAGUCAGGCGUGAAAGCCCCGGGCUCAACCUGGGAAUGGCAGUGGAAACUAGGGGACUGGAAUCUGGCAGAGGGGGGUGGAAUGCCGCGUGUAGCAGUGAAAUGCGUAGAGAUGCGGCGGAACACCGGUGGCGAAGGCGGCAUCCUGGACCGAUAUUGACGCUGAUGCGCGAAAGCCAGGGGAGCAAACGGGAUUAGAUACCCCGGUAGUCCUGGCCCUAAACGAUGAAUGCUUGGUGUGGCGGGUAUCGAUCCCUGCCGUGCCGAAGCUAACGCGAUAAGCAUCCCGCCUGGGGAGUACGGUCGCAAGGCUGAAACUUAAAGGAAUUGACG